rnacentral:misc_RNA from 1 species
UUUCCGUAGGUGAACCUACAAAAGGAUCAUUGUCGUGACCCUGACCAAACAGACCAGGCAUGCGUCAUCCAAUCCACCGGUGAUGGCACCGUCCAUCGCUCGGCCAAGUCCUUGACCGCCUCCCCUCCUCGGAGCGGGGGCUCGGGGUAAAAUAACCCUCGGCACUGAAGGCGUCAAGGAACACUGUGCCUAACCCAGGGGCAUGGCUCGCUUGCUAAUCGUCCCCCGGGUUGCAAAGCUACUUAAUCCACACGACUCUCGGCAAGGGAUAUCUCAGCUCUC